GCAGGGACUGGCCGGCGGGGGCGCGGAGCACGGGGUCGGUGUCGUCGUCGAGGGUGGCUUCGACUGCGCUGCGUACGAGGCGCAGGCUCAGCA
rnacentral:tRNA from 1 species